UACGGGGGGGGCAAGCGUUGUUCGGAAUUACUGGGCGUAAAGGGCUCGUAGGCGGCCAUCUAAGUCAGACGUGAAAUCCCCCGGCUUAACCUGGGAACUGCGUCUGAUACUGGACGGCUGGAGUUUGGGAGAGGGAUGUAGAAUUCCAGGUGUAGCGGUGAAAUGCGUAGAUAUCUGGAGGAAUACCGGUGGCGAAGGCGGCAUCCUGGACCAAUACUGACGCUGAGGCGCGAAAGCUAGGGGAGCAAACGGG
rnacentral:rRNA from 1 species